rnacentral:tRNA from 1 species
UAAAAAGAUAAGCUAAUUUAAGCUAACGGGUUCAUACCCCGUCCAUGUGACGUGAAUGUCACUCUUUUUAA